UACGUAGGGGGCAAGCGUUGUCCGGAAUCAUUGGGCGUAAAGAGCGUGUAGGCGGUUCGGUAAGUCGGCUGUGAAAGUCCCGGGCUCAACCCUGGGAUGCCGGUCGAUACUGCCGGACUAGAGUUCGGAAGAGGCGAGUGGAAUUCCCGGUGUAGCGGUGAAAUGCGCAGAUAUCGGGAGGAACACCUAUGGCGAAGGCAGCUCGCUGGGACGUUACUGACGCUGAGACGCGAAAGCGUGGGGAGCAAACAGG
rnacentral:rRNA from 1 species